rnacentral:piRNA from 1 species
GCUCAAUGAUGCCUGGGAUAAAUGU